rnacentral:sRNA from 1 species
CUUUCCCUUCGGUGUGGUGAGUAAGUGUAGUUGUCGUCUCUUGUAGUGCAGCUGCUGGUUCUCACACCUUUUAGGUCUGUUCUCGUCUUCCGUUCCGACUCUCUCUCUUUCGUUGCAGCCACUGAAGAUCCUGGUGUCGCCAUGGGCCGCCGCCCCGCCCGUUGUUACCGAUAUUGUAAGAACAAGCCGUACCCAAAGUCUCGCUUCUGCCGAGGUGUCCCUGGUAAGUAGUGGAAGAGCCCCUGCACUGGUUGGCUCUACUAACUCAGCGUCCGUCUGUGACACCCCCUGCACACUUACCCAAUCCUUUUUUAGAUGCCAAGAUUCGCAUUUUUGACCUGGGGCGGAAGAAGGCAAAAGUGGAUGAGUUUCCGCUCUGUGGCCACAUGGUAUCAGAUGAAUAUGAGCAGCUGUCCUCUGAAGCCCUGGAGGCUGCCCGAAUUUGUGCCAAUAAGUACAUGGUAAAAAGUUGUGGCAAAGAUGGCUUCCAUAUCCGGGUGAGGCUCCACCCCUUCCACGUCAUCCGCAUCAACAAGAUGUUGUCCUGUGCUGGGGCUGACAGGCUCCAAACAGGCAUGCGAGGUGCCUUUGGAAAGCCCCAGGGCACUGUGGCCAGGGUUCACAUUGGCCAAGUUAUCAUGUCCAUCCGCACCAAGCUGCAGAACAAGGAGCAUGUGAUUGAGGCUCUGCGCAGGGCCAAGUUCAAGUUUCCUGGCCGCCAGAAGGUACGUAGUGCUGCAGCCCCCUUCUCCCACCUUUUUUGCCUCAGGCCUCCUGACUCAAUUCUUUCCAUUGCUCCCUAGAUCCACAUCUCAAAGAAGUGGGGCUUCACCAAGUUCAAUGCUGAUGAAUUUGAAGACAUGGUGGCUGAGAAGCGGCUCAUCCCAGAUGGCUGUGGGGUCAAGUACAUCCCCAAUCG